AUGUUCUCUGUGAAUUCUAAUCUCGUAAACAAAAUCUUUUUUCAGGUCACAGCAUCAACUCCUCUCCCUGCAAUCGAGUCUUCAGAAGGAAUUACCAGGACCGAUUCUUUGCCGUCAGGUUCGGAACCCUUGUCUCCUGUAGCUCAAUCACCUUAG
rnacentral:rRNA from 1 species